GGAAGUUGCUGGCGGAGCUACUUCCGCCCGGGGGAGUGGGAAGUAACUGGAGACACGUGCUUUGGCCUGUUGGAGGGGAAACCCGCUCUCGCCUCCUGGUGGUCGCCGACUCGCGGUCCGCAGGAUGACUCAGGGCAGCCCUGACCACAGUUCCGCCGCCAUCGGCCCUAGCCUGCGGAAUUGGGCUCGCCCCGGGACGAUAACAGAGCUCUGCCGGGGGCUGGAGGCACUGACCGGGUGACCAGAGACCCAGAGACCAGAGCCCCUCCACGGCGCCCGGGAUUUCGGGGACGGCUUCUCCCAUCGCAAGUUUCAACAGAAAAUGAGAAAUAUCCCCCGACGAUUGGCUGAAAACAUGCAGCAACCACUAUUUUCUUCCUGCCCCUCGUUGAUGAGAGCAUUCGAAGUGACCUCAGCAGGGCAUCCAGUUUCGCUCUUGUGGCCCAGGCUGGAGUGUGGUGGUGUGACCUCGGCUCACUGCAUCCUCCGCCUCCUGGGUUCAAGUGAUGGGAUUACAGGUGCCUGCCACAACGCCCAGCUAAUUGUUUGUAUUUUUAGUAGAGACGAGGUUUCACCAUGUUGGCCAGGCUGGUCUCGAACUCCUGACCUCAGGUGAUCCACCUGCUUUGGCCUCCCAAAGUGCUGGGAUUACAAGUAUGAGCUACCACGCCCGGCACAAAGCAUUUUCAGCUGUGAAAUUCCCUGGGGUGCUGCAGUAGACGAAGGUUUGGGGUCUUGACGGGUGCUAUUUGCCACGGAAAGAUG